rnacentral:rRNA from 1 species
GACGAACGCUGGCGGCGUGCCUAACACAUGCAAGUCGAACGAGAAUCUUUGAACAGAUCUUUUCGGAGUGACGUUUAAAGAGGAAAGUGGCGGACGGGCGAGUAACGCGUGAGUAACCUGCCCAUAAGAGGGGGAUAAUCCAUGGUAACGUGGACUAAUACCGCAUAUUGUAAUAAAAUCGCAUGAUUUAAUUAUGAAAGAUUUAUCGCUUAUGGAUGGACUCGCGUCAGAUUAGAUAGUUGGUGAGGUAACGGCUCACCAAGUCAACGAUCUGUAGCCGAACUGAGAGGUUGAUCGGCCGCAUUGGGACUGAGACACGGCCCAGACUCCUACGGGAGGCAGCAGUGGGGAAUAUUGCGCAAUGGGGGCAACCCUGACGCAGCAACGCCGCGUGCAGGAAGAAGGUCUUCGGAUUGUAAACUGUUGUCGCAAGGGAAGAAGACAG